GGUGCAUGCUUAAAAAGAGAGAAGAGCUCCACUAUACUCAAAGCUAAAGAACAAAAACUAGAGAUGUCUACAUCAUCCACCACUUCUUGUUGAGAUAAAACCGUGUUUCUUUUGGUAUCGACAAGUCAAAUAUAACUCUUAAAAAGAAAAUCAGCAAAUCUUCAUGAUCUCAACUUUGCAUUUGAAUUGAUUGGUGUCUUUUUGGAUCAUUGUGGAAGGCACUGACAUGUCUCUGUUACUAAACCAUCAAUUCUUGAAGUAAAAAGCGGUAAAAAACUACCUAGACAAUUAAUUCAAUCUUCUGGAAAAAGAAAACAGCAGAAAGAUUGAAAUUCCAUUUAAACUAGAAAAACAGAAUUUUCCUAGGUUUUCCCUAUCACCAAAAGAAUAUUCACUAACAAACCCCGCUGCCACCAGAGAGAUUUGAGAUGAAUCAAUGAAAAAGAAACAUAGAAUAACUGCACAAAUUUGCAAAGCAUUUCACUAUCCAACAGCCAAAGGUACACAAAUAUGCAAAUAAAACAAGGAAACUUUGUUAAUUAUCAGAUCCAUUAUGUACUCAUCCAAUUAAUUGAAUCAAACAUCAUGGAAGAAAAAAACAAUUACCUCAAUAGUUACUCCAUACAUAGAAUACACAAAUAAAGAAAUCUAGAGAGAGAGAGUGGUGGGGUGACAGAUAGAGCAGUGAGCACGCAUAGGUUCAAGUAUAUCAUAUGCAAGAAAACACCAUGUGUGCUCACUCUCUUCUGUCACCUAUCACAUCCUUUUGCUAGGGUAAUUUUUUGGCGAAAGGGAUUAAGAUAAAACCUUUCACCCUAUAGUUCUGCUCCUAAGUUCCAUACCAAUAAUACCAUAUGUUCAUAAACACAGAUGCGCGCAUACAUAAAACAUAAAGAGAAAUAUAUAGAGAGACAGUGGUGGGGGUGACAGAUAGAGCAGCGAGCACGCAUAGCUUCAAGCAUAGACGGAUUUCAUGCAAGAAAAGACCAUGUGUGCUCACUCUCUUCUGUCACCUCCCUUUUUUACCCCAGCUAUAUAUAGUUAACCUGGAUUAAUGUAGAAUACAAUUCUCUCCCGCCGACAAAAUCUUUUACCACAAGAAGAUGUAGGAAACCCUAGAUCUGAAACUACAAUCGUAGAAGUACUGUUUUGGAACAAUGAUUUUGAUUUA
rnacentral:lncRNA from 1 species